UCCACCUCCCACCCCUAACCUCCCACCUCCCGACCCUACCCUACACCAAAUACCAGGCACCACUCAGGAAACUUCUCUUUCCGUUCUCUAACUUCCCCAAGACCCUGUCAGGCAUGGAACUCUCUGUAUCCUCUGUGGACACCCACCUACCUGUGGCAGGGCCUAGGAACACACAGGACUCGGCUCUCUCAAGAGAUUCCAAGUGGACCGAGGACAGGAUCCAGAGUCACCAGAAGACAAACCCGAGUAUGCCUGAUUCUAGACUGGAUUCAGGAAGUGAGAAGACCCACCCUGAAUAUGGGCUGCAUCACAUCAUGGGCUCAGGUCCCAAGCUGAAUAAAGGAGGAAGAGAAAGUGAGCUAAGCACCCCCACUCAUUUCUCUCUCUGGGGACUGGAUGGGAGGUGACCAAACAGCCUCCUGUUCCCGCUGUCAUCUUCCCAUGAUGGACUACAGGCUCCAAAGUCAGCCAAAAUAAACUUUCCCUCCUUUAUGAUACGUCUAUCAGGGGCUCACUGUGAAGACAUCAGUGUCUCAGAAGAAACUGUACUUAACUUCAAAAUAGUAUGGUACUGUUAAAAACUGUAAGAACCUUUGAAUUUAGACCGAAUGCAUUUUACAUUAUAAAGUAGUUUUAUGUGCCU